rnacentral:rRNA from 1 species
UACGUAGGUGGCAAGCGUUGUCCGGAAUCACUGGGCGUAAAGCGCGCGCAGGCGGCGAUCUACGUCUGGGGUGAAAGCCCGGAGCUCAACUCCGGGACUGCCUUGGAUACGGGAUCGCUUGAGGAUUGGAGAGGCAAGGGGAAUUCCACGUGUAGCGGUGAAAUGCGUAGAGAUGUGGAGGAACACCAAUAGCGAAGGCAGCUCGCUGGGACGUUACUGACACUAAGGCGCGAAAGCGUGGGGAGCGAACAGG